ensembl:snRNA U2 U2 spliceosomal RNA
AUCACUUCUUGGCCUUCUGGCUAAGAUCAAGUGUAGUAUCAGUGUUUAUUUUUCCCAUAAAUAGUCUGAAUAAAUUUCUCUAAAUAUUGACUGAUUUGGUUUCCUUGUUAUCCAAGCCUGGAAAGUCCUCU